rnacentral:rRNA from 1 species
UGGGGAAUUGUUCGCAAUGGGCGCAAGCCUGACGACGCAACGCCGCGUGGAGGAUGAAGAUUUUCGGAUCGUAAACUCCUGUCGAGUGGGACGAACAGCUUUCGGGUGAACAAUCCGGGAGCCUGACGGUACCACUAAAGGAAGCCCCGGCUAACUCCGUGCCAGCAGCCGCGGUAAUACGGGGGGGGCAAGCGUUGUUCGGAAUUACUGGGCGUAAAGGGCUCGUAGGCGGCCAACUAAGUCGGAUGUGAAAUCCCCAGGCUCAACCUGGGAACUGCAUCCGAUACUGGAUGGCUUGAAUUCGGGAGAGGGAUGCAGAAUUCCAGGUGUAGCGGUGAAAUGCGUAGAUAUCUGGAGGAAUACCGGUGGCGAAGGCGGCAUCCUGGACCGAGAUUGACGCUGAGGAGCGAAAGCUAGGGGAGCAAACGGG